GGCGUUUGGCAGGAGCUCAGGAGCGAGGCGGAGGGAGAGAGCUGGGAUUGUUUGGGCCUCGAAGCUCUGUAGACAAAGAGGGGAGGGCAGCUGCCUCACUGUGGCUCCAUUGGGGCUUGGUGCCUCCCUACUGCGGCAGCCCUGGCUUGGAUGCAGCGAUGCCAGGGGUGAAUGUGAGCUGCUGCCUUGGCACUGGAAUGGGCAACCUUUUCCCUCUCUUAUGUCCCCGUGGGGAGAGCUCAGAGCUUAAUCAUGAAACUCGUGGGCUCCAGGCCACUGUUAACCCUGCUGCUGCUGGACGGCUCCCUAGAGCAGGGUGCAGGUGUUCAAGGAAGGGAACCUGCUCCUCUCCUCUCCCCUUGUCUCAGCAACACACUGGCAUCGCCUGGCCGCUGCAUCAAAGGGACAGAGAUCUGCUCUGGGGGGAGCAAUGGCUGGAUGGUUUUACUACGGCACCAGCACCGUAAACCAGUAACCCACUAAGAUCCCACCGCCCUAAUAUAGGGUGCAACUAAAUUCCCUGGGGCCCCACUGACAGGCCCUGCCUGGAGAUAACUCAUUAACCAAGUGCCCACGUGGCCUGGUCAGGUAUGAAACUAGGUCCUAGGACCCCGGUCCCAGAAAGACAAUCUGCACUUACCCUGCAAAGCUGCCCCUGAUGUUCCCGCAGCUCAUGUACAUAUGUGGGUCACUCACCCACGUCUGAGCCAAUCCCUUUUUAUGGGCGAGAACCAUCACUACCAGGACAAUGAAGAGACAAAGGGCAAAGCCCCCCACUGGGAAUGGGGCUAAGGCCUCGUGGGCACGGCUGUGGAAGCCGAUAUGCUUCUGGGUCUGGGACCCAGCAAUUAUUAGGGGUGGAUUUGGCACUGACCCAAUUCUGCUUUGGAAAUUCUCAAGGUUGUUCUUCGCUGGCAAGCAGGCUCAGUUCUCCAUCGCUUGGCAGCACAAGGGGGCAUGAACGUGACCAUAUCAGAGUGCGGGGUGGGGUGGGGUUGGGAGCUGUUUCACAUGUGACAAUGCCAGAUGCAGGGCAAGGACGAAUCAGGCCCGAGGGGUAUUUAGCAGGGUUGCUGUGCCUCCCUGAUGCUGUCACUUGAUUUAGUAGUUCUUAUUCCGGUCACACCUUCGUGCUGUGGAACCAAUGCGAGCUGAGGCCUUUACUCUGCCCACCCAGUGCGAAACCAACGGGGCUGCAUGGUUUACUGCUGCAGCUCUACAUUGCUCAGUGAAGCCCCGGGCUGUGACCUGACCCUUUCUUGCUGUAGCUGCAUCAUCCAGGCUUCCUGGGGCUUUCUCCCAGCUGAUCCAUGCAGUCCUCCAAAAUACCGCAAAAGGCCGGGGAGAUGGUCACUCCCAGCUGGCCUCUAGCCCAGCUGAAGCACAGCUCCAAUGUGCCGUGCGGACAGGGCCUUGCUCAUGCCCAAAGCUUUUGCUUGGCCCGUCUGCACUAGACCCCAGGACCAGGAUGUAACCUGCCUCCCUGCCUCCAGCUCUAAUUGUGUCACAGACAGAUCCUUAAAUGACCUUCUGUCUGCCCCAGAGAACCAUGAGGACCUGAUCCAACUGCCUCUGCUCAAGCCUUGCUCCAGCCGCCUGGAAACCCCUCCCGCUUCCCCUCAGUCUGGAGCUUGACCUGUCCUGGAACCGUUCUGUGUGUAUAUGGACCAGUCCACAAUGCAGGGCCUGCUUCGCCUCUUCCUCCAGCAUGAAUCAGGAGCAACUCCAUUGAACCUCACAGCGAGUGUUACAUCAGUGUCAAACCAGUGCGAGCGAGGGGAGAGGUGGGCUCUAGAAAUCUGAUUCUAUGUCACACUAUACCUUGUAGCAUCUGUCACACCAGUGGAAAGUGAAAUCCAGGUCUUGGCUCCCCUGGGGAACUCUAUGGCAACGGGACAGCUGGUGAAAUAGGGAUCAGCUAGGAGGGGGAGGAAUUUUUAGAUAAACUAUUUGAAAUUAUUUGGAGCUAUUUUCUGUUAUUGUAACUCUGAUGUCUAAUAAACAUCUGGGAGAAAGAUGA